rnacentral:rRNA from 1 species
CGUAGGUGGCGAGCGUUAUCCGGAAUCAUUGGGCGUAAAGAGGGAGCAGGCGGCCGCAAGGUCGUGUGGUGAAAGACCGAAGCUAAACUUCGGUAAGCCAUGGAAACCGGGCGGCUAGAGUGCGGAAGAGGAUCGUGGAAUUCCAUGUGUAGCGGUGAAAUGCGUAGAUAUAUGGAGGAACACCAGUGGCGAAGGCGACGGUCUGGGCCGCAACUGACGCUCAUUCCCGAAAAGACGUGGGGAGGCAAAUAGGAUU